rnacentral:lncRNA from 1 species
GAUAAGCUUGCAACACACGUUGCUCAAAUAAACGGGCAGCAAAAAUUUGGAACAUCCUGCGUCCUUCUUCCAUCCUUUGUUCAUCGGUCAUUAGAUCUAACUCGUCCUCAUCUACAUCUUCUUCGUCUUCUUCUUCAUCUUCGUCAUAUUCCAACCCGCUUUCGUAUAACUCUGGUUCGUGAAAAUUGCUAUUAUCUUCACGCUGCAUACGACGCUCAGCUAACUGUUCCAUCAUUUCUAUAAACUUCUUCCCAUCAUUCUUCAAUAGGUCAUCCGCUACCGUUAAGAUACCUCCUUUCACCGUUAAACUACUCCCGAAGUUAUAAAGAUCAGAAUGAUAGCUAUUUUUCUCAUCUGCUUUAGAGGGAUAAGGAGGCUGAAAAGGAGGCUGUGUUUGAGGGGAAUGUGAAGUGUCUUCCAAUGUCUGAUUUCCGUUGCUUAUAGAAGUGACGAAUUCUUGAUUAUCCACGUUUUUUUCCUCCAAGCUAGUAGUUUCAAUGACUUCUUCAUCAACAUCAGCAUUUGAAGAAUUCAACUCGUCUUGGGUUAUAUCAUCAUUGAGAGAUUUUGAUGGUACGUUGUUCAGAGGAAUCGAUAAAAGCUUAGGUGAAUCGGAGAUGAUUCCUUUCUGGGACUUGUCUGAACCUUCGUCUGAAGCGUUUACAGACUCGGUAUUUGCAAGGUUACGUUGAAUAUUAGCAUAUUGUUCUAAUUCUUCAUAGUAAGCAUCAUACAGUACUUCCAACUCUUCCUCAAUUGCUAAACGUUUCCUUCCACACACCGAACAAGAGCAUGAGUAUUUUUGUUGCUCUUUCAUUUUUUGCAAAACAGCUUCUUUUUCGACUUUAACUAACGACCUGCGUUCACUUUCACUUAAGGAAAGCCAAAAUUCCCGAAUUUGCUCCCGCUCCUCAGUAUUCGAACUGCUCCAAAUAUCUUUGGAUUUAUUAUUGUUAACGUUAUUAUUCAUACUGGCUUGACGCACAGAACCGUUGUAAUAAGAAAGCGCUUGCCCAUUCCUAUAAGUAAUAGCAACGUCCGUAGAAUAAACUUGUUCAAAAUCUCUUUGAUCAUCCACAUUCAACGAUGCACUAUUUGCUUUUGACUUCUUCUUCUUUUUCUUUUUCCGUUUAGAUGAAGUUGACGAACCUAACGCUACUGUAUUCAAAUUCAUAUUAUUUUGAACGGAGUUCGGUGACAUAUUGGACGACGUCGCGUCUUCCAAACCAGGUAUAUGAACUGGAAACUCGGCUUCAUCCACGAAACUGGAGGUAGAAAGAAUACAUUGGGGAGAAUGUUCUAUGGUAUCGUCAGAUUCAAGAGUGAAUUGCCAAUCCGUCGAAGAUAUUCCUUCGACGUUAAUCAACGAUGAAUCAUCACCAUUUGCCGAGACCAGCUGCGGAUGAGAAAUACGAGAAUUCAAAUUUGAAAGUUCCAAAGACGCUUGAUGAUCUAUGACACCAUUAUUCGCGCCAACGUCUGUAACUGCAGAAUCGGUCCCUGCCGACCCAAGCAAAUCCACGUUUGCUUGAGUCUCGACAUUUUUCUUGGCUUUCGGUUUUUUCUUCUUUUUAUUCUUUUUCUUUGUACCAGAGUUGGGAAUAGGUAUAAGAAGAUCCUUGAAACUUGGAGGUUCUAACCCUACACUGAGUGCUUCG